AUUUGCAACACACGAAGAUUAUUGUCAUUCAAGAUAGUCUGUACUUCAGUCAUUCUCCGUGUCACCCGAAGUGCAAUUAUUUAAAGCACUCUUUGUAGAUUCCAGGACAAGCCAGCACAGAGGGGUGGAAUAUUUGUCAACAACAGCACAGUAGUGUUAGGGCCACAAAAAGGGGUGUUAUUGAACACAGCGCUGGCUCACUGAUGCCACAAAAACAUACUUGAAAAUACCUAAACCACACAGAAUGGGCCUGAAACGCAGUUUUCCUUUGUGGAAGGUCAUGUCACAUUCUACUGGAAAAUAACAGCCCUGUUUAAAGGUGACACAAUCACGUUACAGACUGGGUAUCUAUGGUCGGAUUACCUCAACAGGAAGAUGGUGUAUGUCCAAGACCACAGGAGCACAUCAACCUUUUUCAGCCCAAUCAGACACAGUGGGGAUGAUUCACAUACAGUAUUCUUAGUAGUAUGGCAAAGUUGGAGUAAAAUUGUUAAAAACUCCUAUAUGUUUAGUCUAUAGUCUUUGUUUAGUUAAUCUGUAUACAUCAGGUGUUUCUGAAAGGAGUCAUAAAUGGGCACAAAAAAUGUUCAGUAGCUAUUCUGAAACUGUCAUUUAUCUUCAUCUAUUUCUUUGGCUAUUUUGACUUUUCCCUUAUCUGACGAAAAUGCAGUGGGUCAAGUCCCUGAACUCACAUGAAAUAUUUUGUUUUCCUUCUUCUUUCCUCCUUGAGAUUAUGAAAAGGAAGCACAUUUACACACAAAAAAAACAUGUUGCCUUUGGGUAGAGAUAUCCACCAUUUGACUGUCAUUUUGUUCUCUUUCCCCUCCUCCAUUUUAGCCAUUCAUACACAACACCUCCUCUCAGCUGUCCCCGACUUAAUCUCACAAGGUUUCACACACUUCAGAAAAUAUGCAAGAUACUGAAGCAAAGAGCAACUGCAAAAUGAGACAGGCCUGGCACAAAGACAGGGCUCAAAAUAGACAAAUACAGUCUCUGUUAUCCAGCUGCCCUCUUUAAAUCACUUGUGGCCCCCUACAACAAGUGGUCACAAGCCGGAGCAAACAGGACUGUUUCAUCAAAAAAAAAAAAAAAAAGACCAUGAACAACGUCCUCCUUACUCCGUAUCAAAUCCAAGAACCAAAAAGAAGUUCCAAAAUGAAUUUUUUCCCCUCUCCAUGUGCAUGUUCAAGGCUCUUGUGUGUGUUUUCCUUCCUGUCAAAGAAAUGUGUUCUUUGCCGUGCAUUCCAGAGCAUCGGCAAGGACACUAGCAGGAGAGACGAAUGGAAAAGUUGUGUUACAGGAGGAGAACGUUCAGAGAGGGAGUGAGAGAGCAGGAGAGAGA